rnacentral:rRNA from 1 species
UCUUAAUUAGGGGAUAGUAUGAAUGGUAUAACGAAUAAAAUUGAGUUUUAAAUUUAACAGUUUAAUUUAAUAUAUAAGUCAAAAAGCUUAUUUGAAAUUUAGGGACAAGAAGACCCUAUUAAAGUUUAAUUUUAAAUUUUUUAUUAAAUAACAAAUAUAAAUUUUAUUGGGGUAAUACUAUAAGACAAGAUUUUAUAGAAUAUAAUUUUUAAGUAAGAAAUAAGAUGUAUUAUUAAUAACUAUUAGAUUAAAUUACUUUAGGGAUAACAGCACAAUUAAAGUUUGAAAGUUCAUAUUUACAAUUUUGAUUAUGACCUCGAUGUUG